rnacentral:rRNA from 1 species
UACGUAGGGGGCUAGCGUUGUCCGGAAUCAUUGGGCGUAAAGCGCGCGUAGGCGGCCAGAUAAGUCCGGUGUGAAAGUCAAAGGCUCAACCUUUGAAUGCCGCUGGAAACUGUCUGGCUAGAGUCCGGAAGGGGCGAGUGGAACUCCUGGUGUAGCGGUGAAAUGCGCAGAUAUCAGGAAGAACACCUAUGGCGAAGGCAGCUCGCUAGGACGGUACUGACGCUGAGGCGCGAAAGCGUGGGGAGUGAACAGG